rnacentral:rRNA from 1 species
AUACGUAGGUGGCAAGCGUUGUCCGGAUUUACUGGGUGUAAAGGGCGUGUAGGCGGAGAUGCAAGUCAGGAGUGAAAUCUAGGGGCUCAACCCCUAAACUGCUUUUGAAACUGUAUCCCUUGAGUAUCGGAGAGGCAGGUGGAAUUUCUAGUGUAGCGGUGGAAUGCGUAGAUAUUAGGAGGAAAACCAGUGGCGAAGGCGACUUACUGGGCCGUAACUGACGCUGAGGCGCGGAAGCGUGGGGAGCGAACAGGAUUAGAUACCCUGGUAGUCCACGCGGUAAACGAUGAAUGCCAGGUGUUGCGGGUAUCGACCCCUGCAGUGCCGGAGUAAACACAAUAAGCAUUCCGCCUGGGGAGUACGGCCGCAAGGUUGAAACUCAAAUGAAUUGACGGGG